ensembl:rRNA 5S_rRNA 5S ribosomal RNA
GUCUAUGGGCAUACCACCCUGAACAUGCCCGAUCUUGUCUGAUCUCGGAAGCUAGGCAGGGUCGGGCCUGGUUAGUACUUGGAUGGGAGAUCGGAAUACCGGACCACCUUACCU